rnacentral:rRNA from 1 species
AUUGAACGCUGGCGGCAGGCUUAACACAUGCAAGUCGAGCGGUAGAAAGUAGCUUGCUACUUUUGAGAGCGGCGGACGGGUGAGUAAUGCGUGGGAAUCUACCUGGUAGUGGGGGGACAACAGUUGGAAACGACUGCUAAUACCGCAUACGCCCUACGGGGGAAAGCGGGGGAUCUUCGGACCUCGUGCUAUCAGAUGAGCCCGCGUGAGAUUAGCUAGUUGGUGGGGUAAAGGCCUACCAAGGCGACGAUCUCUAGCUGGUCUGAGAGGAUGAUCAGCCACACUGGGACUGAGACACGGCCCAGACUCCUACGGGAGGCAGCAGUGGGGAAUAUUGGACAAUGGGCGAAAGCCUGAUGCAGCCAUGCCGCGUGAAUGAUGAAGGCCUUAGGGUUGUAAAAUUCUUUCGUCAGGGAUGAUAAUGACCGUACCUGAAGAAGAAGCCCCGGCUAACUUCGUG